GUAGUCUGNAACCCGACUACAUGAAGCUGGAAUCGCUAGUAAUCGCGAAUCAGAAUGUCGCGGUGAAUACGUUCCCGGGUCUUGUACACACCGCCCGUCACACCAUGGGAGUCGGAAAUGCCCGAAGUCAGUGACCCAACCGUAAGGAGGGAGCUGCCGAAGGUGGAGCCGGUAACUGGGGUGAAGUCGUAACAAGGUAAC
rnacentral:rRNA from 1 species